UACGAAGGGGGCUAGCGUUGCUCGGAAUUGCUGGGCGUAAAGCGCACGUAGGCGGCUCUCUAAGUCGGGGGUGAAAUCCUGGAGCUCAACUCCAGAACUGCCUUCGAUACUGGAGAGCUCGAGUCCGGGAGAGGUGAGUGGAACUGCGAGUGUAGAGGUGAAAUUCGUAGAUAUUCGCAAGAACACCAGUGGCGAAGGCGGCUCACUGGCCCGGUACUGACGCUGAGGUGCGAAAGCGUGGGGAGCAAACAGG
rnacentral:rRNA from 1 species